GUUAAGCGACUAAGCGUACACGGUGGAUGCCCUGGCAGUCAGAGGCGAUGAAGGACGUGCUAAUCUGCGAUAAGCGUCGGUAAGGUGAUAUGAACCGUUAUAACCGGCGAUUUCCGAAUGGGGAAACCCAGUGUGUUUCGACACACUAUCAUUAACUGAAUCCAUAGGUUAAUGAGGCGAACCGGGGGAACUGAAACAUCUAAGUACCCCGAGGAAAAGAAAUCAACCGAGAUUCCCCCAGUAGCGGCGAGCGAACGGGGAGCAGCCCAGAGCCUGAAUCAGUGUGUGUGUUAGUGGAAGCGUCUGGAAAGGCGCGCGAUACAGGGUGACAGCCCCGUACACAAAAAUGCACAUGCUGUGAGCUCGAUGAGUAGGGCGGGACACGUGGUAUCCUGUCUGAAUAUGGGGGGACCAUCCUCCAAGGCUAAAUACUCCUGACUGACCGAUAGUGAACCAGUACCGUGAGGGAAAGGCGAAAAGAACCCCGGCGAGGGGAGUGAAAAAGAACCUGAAACCGUGUACGUACAAGCAGUGGGAGCACGCUUAGGCGUGUGACUGCGUACCUUUUGUAUAAUGGGUCAGCGACUUAUAUUCUGUAGCAAGGUUAACCGAAUAGGGGAGCCGAAGGGAAACCGAGUCUUAACUGGGCGUUAAGUUGCAGGGUAUAGACCCGAAACCCGGUGAUCUAGCCAUGGGCAGGUUGAAGGUUGGGUAACACUAACUGGAGGACCGAACCGACUAAUGUUGAAAAAUUAGCGGAUGACUUGUGGCUGGGGGUGAAAGGCCAAUCAAACCGGGAGAUAGCUGGUUCUCCCCGAAAGCUAUUUAGGUAGCGCCUCGUGAAUUCAUCUCCGGGGGUAGAGCACUGUUUCGGCAAGGGGGUCAUCCCGACUUACCAACCCGAUGCAAACUGCGAAUACCGGAGAAUGUUAUCACGGGAGACACACGGCGGGUGCUAACGUCCGUCGUGAAGAGGGAAACAACCCAGACCGCCAGCUAAGGUCCCAAAGUCAUGGUUAAGUGGGAAACGAUGUGGGAAGGCCCAGACAGCCAGGAUGUUGGCUUAGAAGCAGCCAUCAUUUAAAGAAAGCGUAAUAGCUCACUGGUCGAGUCGGCCUGCGCGGAAGAUGUAACGGGGCUAAACCAUGCACCGAAGCUGCGGCAGCGACGCUGAUGCGUUGUUGGGUAGGGGAGCGUUCUGUAAGCCUGUGAAGGUGUACUGUGAGG
rnacentral:rRNA from 1 species